AGUGAACGCUGGCGGUAGGCCUAACACAUGCAAGUCGAACGGCAGCACAGAGGAGCUUGCUCCUUGGGUGGCGAGUGGCGGACGGGUGAGGAAUACAUCGGAAUCUACUUUUUCGUGGGGGAUAACGUAGGGAAACUUACGCUAAUACCGCAUACGACCUACGGGUGAAAGCAGGGGAUCUUCGGACCUUGCGCGAUUGA
rnacentral:rRNA from 1 species